GAUGAACGCUGGCGGCGUGCCUAAUACAUGCAAGUCGAGCGAACAGACGAGGAGCUUGCUCCUCUGAUGUUAGCGGCGGACGGGUGAGUAACACGUGGAUAACCUACCUAUAAGACUGGGAUAACUUCGGGAAACCGGAGCUAAUACCGGAUAACAUGUUGAACCGCAUGGUUCAACAGUGAAAGACGGUCUUGCUGUCACUUAUAGAUGGAUCCGCGCCGCAUUAGCUAGUUGGUAAGGUAACGGCUUACCAAGGCAACGAUGCGUAGCCGACCUGAGAGGGUGAUCGGCCCCACUGGAACUGAGACACGGUCCAGACUCCUACGGGAGGCAGCAGUAGGGAAUCUUCCGCAAUGGGCGAAAGCCUGACGGAGCAACGCCGCGUGAGUGAAGAAGGUCUUCGGAUCGUAAAACUCUGUUAUUAGGGAAGAACAAAUGUGUAAGUAACUAUGCACGUCUUGACGGUACCUAAUCAGAAAGCCACGGCUAACUACGUG
rnacentral:rRNA from 1 species